rnacentral:rRNA from 1 species
CCUACGGUGGGCAGCAGUGGGGAAUAUUGCACAAUGGGGGAAACCCUGAUGCAGCGACGCCGCGUGAGUGAAGAAGUAUCUCGGUACGUAAAGCUCUAUCAGCAGGGAAGAAAAUGACGUUACCUGACUAAUAAACCCCGCCUAACUACGGGCCAGAAGCCGCGGUAAUACGUAGGGGGCAAGCGUUAUCCGGAUUUACUGGGUGUAAAGGUAGCGUAGACGGCAGCACAAGUCUGGAGUGAAAUCCCGGGGCUUCACCCCGGAACUGCUUUGGAAACUGUGCGGCUGGAGUGAAGGAGGAGUAAGCGGAAUUCCUAGUGUAGCGGUGAAAUGCGUAGAUAUUAGGAGGAACACCGGGGGCGAAGGCGGCUUACUGGACUGUAACUGACGUUGAGGCUCGAAAGCGUGGGGAGCAAACAGGAUUAGAUACCCCAGUAGUC